GGUGUUUCACUCUUGUUGCCCAGGCUGGAGUGCAAUGGCGCAAUCUCCGCUCACCGCAAUCUUCGCCUCCCGGGUUCAAGCCAUUCUCCUGCCUUAGCCUCCGGAGUAGCUGGGAUUACAGGCAUGCGCCACCAUGCCCGGCUAAGUUUGUAUUUUUAGUAGAGACGGGUUUCUCCAUGUUUGUCAGGCUGGUCUUGAACUCCCGACCUCAGGUGAUCUGCCCACCUUGGCCUCCCAAAGUGCUGGGAUUACAGGCAUGAGCAACCGCACCCGGCCUCACUUGUUUCUUUUUAGUUUUUUAAAUUGUAGUUACUAUGAACAAUGAAAUACAUAAAUAUAUGGUUUGUUAGCAUGUGAUACAUUCUUUGGGAAAAACGAUCACAAUUGGGCACGGUGGCUCACGCCUAUAAUCUCAGCACUUUGGGAGGCCGACGUGGGCAGAUUGCUUGAGGUCAGGAGUUCGAGACCAGCCUGGCCAACAUGGCAAGACCCUGUCUCUACUAAAAAUACAAAAAUUAGCUGGGCGUGGUGGCGCAUGCCUAUAAUCCCAGCUACUUGGGAGGCUGAGGUAGGAGAAUUGCUUGAACCUGGGAGGUGGAGGUUGCAGUGAACCUAGAUCACGCCACUGCAUUCCAGCCUGGGCAACAGAGCGAGACUCCAUCUUAAAAAAAAAAAAA
rnacentral:lncRNA from 1 species